UUAUUCUAGCAAUAAUUUAACCUAGGGUUUAUAUUUGGAAAAAUACCCAUAGGUGAAAUGUGUUUAUUUUGAUGUUUUAUGAUAGAAUAUAAAGCUAGAAAUUAUGUUAAACAACUUUUGCUAAGCGAUUUUAAGUGAAAACGAGUAAAACGACAUAAUCGGUAAAAAUACCUAAUGUUCAUAAAUAAGUGUUAGAGUGGGAAUUUGACAUUGCCAUAGAAGGGAAAA
rnacentral:lncRNA from 1 species